CGAAAUGAACGGUUCGUUUGAGCGGAGUGCGAAUUUUCAUAAUUAACUUUGAAUGGAAAUGCAUACGAGUAAAUCUUAAAGUGAAGUGACUCACAAAGCUAAAAACAAAUAAAUAGAAACAAACAUAAAUGGAAGUUUUUAAUAAGAAGUUGAUGUUUUUAAAUGAAAUAAUAGAAAAUUACUUUGUUGGCGAAUUGCUAAACUAAACAAAACUUAACAAAACAAAAAGGCAUAAAAACUCAAAUGUUUAUAUUUGCUGUGUGUAUUUAUCGCGUCUUCUAGCAAGCAAGACUCUUCUUAAUAUAAACAAAGAAUAAACAAAGAAUAGCAGUUGCAACAAAAAAGCAAGACCAGCAUUUUAACGGUAUUUUCACCUGUACGAGAAACUCAAGGAAGACACGAAGUAUACUUCGUGCAUAAUUUCACUGACGACUCUCAAUUGCAACAGUUACAUUUGAUGAAGUAAAGAGAUUCGUGAUAUUGUGUCGAGAAAGGUACCACACGGUAAGGACACUUCUUCAAUGUUUAUUUAAAAGAAAUCCUAACGCCAGCCGUAGUCAGUUCGUGUUUAAAUCUCAUGUCGUAAGGUUGAUAGACGCUUUGUAGGAUUUUUCAUGCGUGUAGUUCGAUAAUUGCGGACUUCUGUGAAUUAUGUUUUGAAUUACUAAGUGAAUAAG